CGGUUGCCUGUGAGGAAACAGAAAACUCCCUAAUCAUCAGCCAUUAAGCUUCUCAGCCUCGACGAACAGCCAAAUACAUGGAAAAGAAAGUCUCUCUAAAACACAGAUCGGAUGAUAGCACUAUUCAGAAUGCUUUCAUGGUAUCCCGUGGUCUACAGAACAAAUGCAGACAAUUCAACCAAAUAGCCAAGACACUUUGGAAUCUCGUCACUGUCUCUCCUCCGCUCACUUUUCCCAGUCUUCCCGGACCGCUCGGUGUUUCCAGUGGGCAUGAACUUCCACACCACCAUGCCUCUGUCUGCCCGUAUUCCUUAAUUUCUCCCAUCUAAACGCUGAUUCAUCCUUUAAGGGUUAGAUCAUCCAAGUUCCUCCAGCAACCUGCCCUUCUCAGUGCUCCCGUGGUGGUUAACAGAAAUCCCCAAACUCAGGUAUGUGGGGUCCCUUCUCGGGUCCCACUGCUGUCUAAUGCUUUUGACAGCUGGCCCCUAAUAAAGGUAAAUUUCUUAUGAAUGAAAUAGCUCUCCUAAAAAUCAUAUAUUUUCCUCUUAAGCAGAGGUUGCAAUACCCUUAAGAGCAGCACCUCUGUUUUCUUGCAGACGUGAGAUUAAGUUUGUAGCAAAUGUGUGUUUCUGCCACUUGCUGGCCAUGUGUAGCCCUUCUGCAUGAUGGUGAGUGACAUUAGCAGCCAAGUGAAGAGGGGAGCGGUGGGAAGAGCUGUUCAGAGGAGCACGGUCCUGUCCCAUGCUGGCUCUUUCUCUUCCUUUGGGAAGUGGCUUAAGUGUCACUCCUCCCCUCGGCAAGGCCUUCCCCGCUGCCUGCUACGGGAGGGCCAAACCUCCCCAGAUAGUAGUCUCUUAAUUUUCUUCUCUUCUUCCCUUCUCCUUCUUCUUCUUUUUAAAGAUAUUUAUUUUAUUUGAAAGGCAGAGAGAGAAAGAGAGAGAGAGAGAGAGAUCCUCUAUCCACUGGUUCACUCCUCAAAUGGCUACAACGACUGGAGCUAGGCGAGAAGCCAGGAGACAGGAGCUUCUACCGGGUCUCCCAUGUGAGUACAGGGGCCCAAGGACUUGGUCCAUCUUCCACUGCUUUCCCAGGCACAUGAGCAGGGAGCUGGAUCGGAAGUGGAGCAGCCAAGGAUGGACCCAGCACCCGUGUGGGAUGCUGCUAUGCCACAGCACCAGCCUCAGUGUUCUUCUGAGACCUGACCUCGAAUUGUAACUAAUUGCUUGGUGGUCUUUUAAAAAUUGUUUAUUUUUACUUUAUUUAAAAGGGAAAGAGAGAGAGAUCUCCCAUCUGAUGGUUCACUCCCCCAGAUGUCUGCAAUCGCCAGGACUGGGCCAAGCCAGAGCCAGGAGCCCAGAACUCAAUCUGGGUCUUCCAGAUGCGUGAUAGGACUCAGGUACUGGAGCCAUCACUGCUGCCUCUCAAAGUGUGCAUUAACUGAGAGGCUGGAUCCGAAGUGGAGUAGCUGGGACUUGAACCAGACAUGCCAACAUGGGGUGCAGGCUCCCAAGCAACAACCUAACUGCUGUGCUGAUCCCACUUUCUGCUUGGUGUUUUUGAAUUCAGGUUAGAUUGGAAGCAUUGUAAGGAAGGAAACCACAUCUCUUUUGUUCACCACUGCUUCCAGAUUCCCAGCUCAUGUCCGGCUCACACGAUAACAGGUAAGGUAAGAAAUGAGAUAGAAGCACAGACUUAAAAAAAAAUGCAGUUACUAUCUGGGAAAGCCAUUAGUUCAAAUUUCAAAGCCUCAGAGUCACAGUGGUAUAACAAGCAAUGCUACUUCUCAGAAAAGGCAGAAUUAUAUUUAGCACAAUGUACUUAAGACAAGAGGAACAUGAGUGACCUGUCUACGUAGCAUGGUUAAAACAGAUGACUUCAUAUCAAUAGGAGAAGGCUCAGUUAACUGGAAAAAAAAAAAAAAAAAAAAAAAAACAACAACAACAAAAAAAACAAACAAAAAAAACCAAACCCAACAAAAUUCCUCAGAGAUCAAAUAAUUGACGUGCUACAAGUCAUUCUUCCACUGAUUCAUUAGUUCGUUUCUCAACAACUAUUUCCUGUGUGUCUGUCAGAAUACUUUUCUAGAAAUUGCUGGAAAUUCUUAGAAGAUGACGAGCUCCUUCUCCCCCAUGACUCGCCAUUGAAAACAAGAAGGGAAGUGAACCUGUCUGCCGUCUCCUGAGAUCAGGUCCUGCCACAUUGUCCUCACCUGCCCUCCGAGCUGAUCCCCCUAUCCCAUGUUGCCCUCUGCACAUUCACCACACAAUGGCCAGUGCACAUUUUAAAACUAUGUUGGGGGCUGGUGCUGUAGCACAGUAUGUUAAAGCCCCAGCCUGCAGCACCAGCAUCCCUAUUGGCGCCAGUUCAAGUCCCGACUGCUCCUCUUCUGAUCCAGCUCUCUCUGCUAUGGCCUGGGAAAGCAGUGGAAGAUGGCUCAAGUCCUUAGGCCCCUACACCCUUGUGGGAGACCCAGAAGAAGAUCCUGGCUCCUGGCUUUGGAUCAGCUCAGCUCUGGCCGUUCCAGUAAUUUUGGGAGUGAACCAGCAUGAUGGAAGACCUCUCUCUCUCUCUGGCUCUACCUCUCUCUCUGUUACUCUUUCAAAUGAAAAAAAAUCUUAAAAAAAAAAAAAAACAAACUAUGUUGGAUCCUAUGACUGUCUUGCCUGAUAUCUUCCAGUGCCUUCCAACUGGUCUCUGCAGUUCUGGCCUCCACUAACCAUUAUGACCUUCCAUAUCCCACUACAGUUCUUGCUUCCAAAUUCCAUUCACCCCAGGCCUGGCUCCCUAUUGUUCUCACCUCUGGGCGGCUGCACCUGCUGUUCUCUCUGCCUACAAGACUCUUCCCAAGAUAUCUACGUGGCUCAUUCCUUCUCAUCAUUCAGACCUUGACUCAUGGAUCUGGAGAACCCACGUCACUCUACGGACAAGGACGAUGCAUUUCCCGCCUGUAUUGGGCACAGGGAAGAGCACUCAAUGGGUCACAGAAUUUUCUGGAGAACAGCUCCUUCCGCACCUGCCCUGGGUGAUGGGAUGUUUAUUAAAGUCGAUGAGAUCUGGUCAGUCUUGUGACCACCAAGGAGCUGGCCGAAGAGCACCGUGAGAACAAAGCUCACCACUGAGCCCCUCCCUGCACAGGUGGGCAGUGGAGGUCCAGAGGAUGCUGUCCGAUGCCUUCCCGGGCACAUGCAGGGGCUGGUCUGGAAUCCAGGGCUCUAACUCCCAGGAGCUUUUCCGCCCUCUCUUCCAGCCUGUCGUGAACCUCGUCCCUGAGGGAACCACCUGGGCUCGUGCCUCCUCUGCUGAAGCUCACACAAUGCUUUAUUCUUUCGGCUUACAAAUGUUUGAGUGUCUGCUUUCCCAGAUGCCCUCUGUCUCACAGUGUUUUCCUCUGUGCCAGAAACAUCAAAGGGUCCAACUUCAAUAGCCCUGCUUCUAAUUCAUAUCCCCAAGAUCAGGAACUGUGCCCCACAACGUCAAGCCAUUGCAAACACACGAGGGUACUUCAAGAAAGUUGUG